CAGCCGCCGCGGGAAUACCAGCACCUCGAGUGGUCAGGAGGUUUAUUGGGCCUAAAGCAUCCGUAGCCGGUUGCAUAAGUUUUCGGUUAAAUCUAUGCGCUUAACGUAUAGGCCGCCGAAAAUACUGUGCAGCUAGGGAGUGGGAGAGGUACACGGUACUCGAUAGGAAGGGGUAAAAUCCUUUGAUCUAUUGAUGACCACCUGUGGCGAAGGCGGUGUACCAGAACACGUUCGACGGUGAGGGAUGAAAGCCGGGGAGCAAACCGGAUUAGAUACCCCAGUAGUCCCUGUCUCUUAUACA
rnacentral:rRNA from 1 species